GGGGGCUUAGCUCAGUGGUAGAGCGUGAGCUUGGCAGGCACAAGGUCCUGGGAUCGAUCUCUAGUGCCUCCG
rnacentral:tRNA from 1 species